UUUUCGCCAUCUUUAUUAUGUAACUGCACCAAAGCAUUGUAAUAAUUAGGAUUUUAUUUUCUGCCAUUUAUUUUCUGCCAUUUUAUUUUUCUGCCAUUUAUUUUUCUGCCAUUUAAAUUCCUGCCAUUGAUCAUAUAUUAACUGCGUGGUUUAGUAAUGUAGGGCAUGAAAACCUACUAAAUUAAUUAUUUAAUAUUUUUUCUAUAACCUUU
rnacentral:lncRNA from 1 species